rnacentral:lncRNA from 1 species
CAUGCAUUUUAAUUGCACAGUUUUAACGUAAACAAACUGAUAAACAAAAUGUGAUGCAUAUUUGUCCAUUGUGCAGAAACGGGUCAGAUUUGAAUGUUUUAAAUACCCAAUAACCAGGUUUAUACAUUUAUCAUCAAUAAAUCAGUUUGUCUUAUUCAUAUAUUUGAGCUAGUAGAAUAUUGCCAUGUUCAUACUUUAUAACGGAAUACUUUUAUUAGGUUUCUUGAUGAAAUAAAUUACAAAGAAAUCUUUCCCGUUUCAUUUAGAUGCGACUCACAAAUAUGCAAGUUUAUUAGUUGUUUAUGCUAAAUCUCAAAUGUAUUUUUGGAUUGUAGAUGUGAUUUCCUCAUGUGACAACAAGUUUUGCUGUGUCAUUUGCUUGUCAUGAUGGAUGGCACACAGCUCUUUGUGUAAAAUGAAGCUGUUGGUCACUGCAAUGUCCAGGAAGUGUUUUUUUGUUAUGUACCACUUCUGUGUUUUAAGGUGCACCAACUUUGUUCCAAGUAUCUUGGUGGAGGUGAUAACUCCUCCCAUGUACUUAUUUUACAGCUACAGCUGCGACCAGGGCCCCUCUGAGAUGGUGUUGUGUUCGAUGUGGACGGCCCAUUUGCUUCUUCGUAGAUGUGGUCUUUCUUCUCCACUCUACGAUGUGACUUGGAUGAACACCAUCGAGACCCAAUAAGACGCCGCUCUGUACAACGGACUCAAUCUUUGUCCGAACUACCCUACAAUAAAUGCUCGGACACAAUACUGGCUGGUAUGAAUCUUUCUUUUCUUUACUGCAGGCUGUAAAAUGAAAUAAAUCACCCCUUUAGUGGUUGUUUUGCAGCAGGCAUAAGUGACCCACAGCGUGCAGUACACAUUGCAACUGCUGUGUUGCGUCAUCUCCUGUCUUAUUGAACGUUUAUCUGCCUGCAGUUCAUGGGAAGUCGUGGCCUAAUGGUUAGAGAGUCGGACUCCCAAUCGAAGGGUUGUGAGUUCGAGUCCCGGGCCGGCAGGAAUUGUGGGUGGGGGGAGUGCAUGUACAGUUCUCUCUCCACCUUCAAUACCAUGACUUAGGUGCCCUUGAGCAAGGCAUCGAACCCCCAACUGCUCCCCGGGCGGUCGGACUCCCAAUCGAAGGGUUGUGAGUUCGAGUCCCGGGCCGGCAGGAAUUGUGGGUGGGGGGAGUGCAUGUACAGUUCUCUCUCCACCUUCAAUACCAUGACUUAGGUGCCCUUGAGCAAGGCAUCGAACCCCCAACUGCUCCCCGGGCGCCGGGUGUGUGUUCACAGUGUGUGUGUGUUCACUGCUCUGUGUGUGCACUUCGGAUGGGUUAAAUGCAGAGCACGAAUUCUGAGUAUGGGUCACCAUUCUUGGCUGAAUGUCACGUCACUUUCAAACCACACGAGGGCAUCAGUACAACAUGAAAUUAACCGCUGCUGAAUUCACAAUAAAACUAAAUAAAAUCCUAACUCUGUUACACAUGCACGAACACACAUACGCAAAUGUACACAUAUACACAUAAAUGCAUGCACACACACAUUCGCACACACACACACCAUAGACUGUUAAAGAUACACACAUGCACACAUACACAUGAACACUCACCUAUACACACAUACAUAUAUACACAUUCAAGAUUCAAGAAUUUUUAUUCGUCACAUACACGAUUAUACAUAGAAUAUAGUUAUUGCAAUUAUUAAAGAAUACAACACAUGAAAGUAUGAAAGAAUUAAAUAAAAGUAAACAAUAAAACUAUAAGAAUAACACACACAUACAAACAUAUGCGCACACACACACACAGAUAUGUGAAUCGACGUAUAUACGCAAAAACAUAAGUGCAUGCAUGCACACACAUAACGUUACACGAGCAAACAUGAACGCAUGCGUUGUGGUGUAGUGUUAUAAGUAUGAAUGGUGUAAUUGCAUAUUGACUCCACUAGAGGGCCACCUUGACUGCAGCGGGUUAUCGGGUCAGACAGAGUUAGACUGUGGCAUGCAUAAGCGGUUAGCAGCAGGAGCUGCUUGUGUUCUGUAAUAAAUAUGUGGUUCUGAGUAAUAACUCUCCGUGUACGUAGUCUGUUGGAUACACUGCAAUAGAAGAAACACUACAUGCAUGCACAUGCGCACAUAUACCACAUAAGUGUGUGAAACGGUGCUUUUUCGAACUGAAACACUGAGUCUAUGACUAUUUUACUCACAUUUCUCAUUGAUUCAUCAGAAAGAAACAUAUAAGAAAGAAAUUACAAGACGCAUAGGAGAGAAGAUUGUAAGGGACCUCCAGCCAAUCUCAGUUGUAGAAGACAAAAAAGCUGAUGGAGUAUACAAUUAACUACAUGUAUGCUGAAUGUAAAGCCAAAGUUAUGAGAACAUUACAACAUGCAAACCAUGUCAUUCUCACAACAGAUAUGUGGACCUCAAGGUCGACAGAGGCAUAUUUAACUGUGACAUUCCAGUGCAUUCCAGUCUUUUAUCAGGGGUUUAUUUUAUUUUUAAGCCGUAGAGUUUAUCAGUCAUAGAAAAAACAGGCUCAAGAGGAAAAUGUCAACUUGUUUCAUCUCAAAAACCUAGGGGAAGAAAUGUGGUAAAAGUGUUCAGUGUUUGUUAAUAAACGUAAGCAAAAGGUUGUCAUGUCCAUUUUAUUAAUGUUGCUAUCAAAAGACACUAUAAAAUCACUUAAAUAAAAAUAUUUCAUAGAAGUAUCGGUGUCGGCGAUACUUGUCUUGAAAGUACUUUGUAUCGGAUCGAAAAGAAAAUAACUGGUAUCGCCCAUCCCUAGCUGUGAUUUGCUGAUGGAAAGCAUGCAGUUAACGUAUUAAGCCAUAAAUUGUCAUAAAGGGCAAGUUGUUUACUAGCAUGCGUAAUUGGAUUUUUUUUUCAUAGUGCAAACGGUUGGUGAGUUAUUAUAACAUAAAUAGAGCAUGGUCAGAGCCGUAGAGUGGCGAAACCGUCUGAUUCAUCUCUGACACAAUCAACACAUGCAUCAAAAUGGUGAUAUUUGUAGAUGGAUGUCUGUCCAUUUAUUGUAACUUCUCUUCAAUUUUGGCAUAAUGACAGUCAGCUGGUUUUCAUUAAAGGUGUUUUGAUUUCCCCAAUGACAUAAAUGCUCAAUGGCAUAAAUGCUAAAUUUACAGCCAUGAUGUCAGGGUGUUAUGGAUGGUUGUCAAGGCAUUGCUAGGGUGUGCUGAGUGGUUGUUAGUAUAUUCUUUUAAUAAUUCAAGUAGUCUUACAUGCACGAAAUUAUGCGAAAUGAAGCUUUAUCCACAAUGUAUAGUAAAGACCUUGUUUUUGUGAACAAAGAAAACAUCAUGAUCAUGUAUAAUAAAUCAUAAAUCAUGAUGUACUCACCUUACUUAAUGUCUUAAUUAAGGUGUUGUUCAUCCAUGAAGUCAUGAAAGACUAUGAACUUAUGUUAGUUCCUGAUAAUUCAUGAUAUUAAUGCAUGAAGUAAUGCAUAAUUCACACAUUAAUUUAUUCAUUAAUGCAUGGUAAUUUGUAUAGGCUGCCCUUACCGUAAAGUGUUACCCUGAUUUGCUGCUCAACAAACAUUUCUGCGCGUUUCUUUUCUAAAUGAUUGGUUUGAAAACGAAUCUCUCUGAAAGACAGCCUCUUAUCAUCACCUGCUGCUGUAAUGAUGUAACUUACAGAAAGAGUCACUAAAUACAUAAUAUACUGUUUAUGAAAAUCAACAAGACAAUAAAAAGAGGGAUUCAGUCACCUAUUAAAGCAAUAGUUCGGGCAUUAUUUACUUAAUGUAAAUAAAGCAUAUAAUAAAUUUAAGCAGCUCAGAUAUUCUGCCUAACAUCAUCUUUUGUAUUACUGCUUGAUAUAAUCAAGUAUUGUAAGACAAAAGUGUGAGUAAAUGAUGACAAAAAGUUCAUUUUGUGCCAAAUUAUUCCUUUAAACUCCAUAAACAGAUGCAGAAGAUGGCAAGACCUCGGAGACCUUUGUGUUCAAUCAUCUUCUUUGAUAAAUACGGCACAUCUGUGCAUGUUCUCAUGAAGGAGAAAAGUCUCUAUCUGUGCCAGACAUGAACUUCAGAAGAAGUCUGAUUCUGAAACUUCCUCUAUGAGGACAGAAGAAACAAUCCUGUCAAUCAUGAAACCCAUUCAUUAUGAGCAGAAACCUUGUGAACAAACACAGUCUGGGAUUUCUUCACUGUUUAUAUCAUAAUCAUGACCGUGUGGUUUAAUACUUCAGCUCUGGUGUUUGUUCAGAUCCAUGAACUCAAGCGUGAACAACACCAGCGACUCUCUUCAUAAACAACACUAAUAAAGCUCUGUGUUUCUGUUUAAAACACUCAAUCUUCAGGGAAUCGUCUACAUACAACAGAUUAAACUAACACUGACACAGAGUUCUUUCCAUCUUGUGUUAUUUACUGAAAUCAUGAAAGGAUAGACAGAGUUUUAUUAACAAGACUAUAAAAACAUCACUCACUGAACAUUCAUCACAGGUUUUCUUGGUAUUCUCCUUAUCCUUAUGUUUCAGAGCACACAGCGGGGAAAACUAUUUAUAGACUCACUUCAUGAAGCCAGCAACACUUUAGUAUCAGAACUCUUUAAAACCUCAAACUAUUAAAUAUACAUGGUCAGUCUCAGACCACCCAAGAACAACAUGUGACUCUUGAGGAUUCAAACAUGACUCAAGAAACAAGAACGACCAUUUCUGCUUCUCCUGAACUCAAAACAAUGGAUAUUAACAUCAUAUUUGUGACCCUUUGACCACAAAAGCAG